rnacentral:rRNA from 1 species
GGUUAGGGGCAUACCAAAAAUAAAGUUAAAGAGCCUCUAAGCUGUCGCACGCACCCCGAGAGCUCGAGAUCCAAACACGAAAGUAACUUUAAAACAAUUCACCUGACCCCACGAAAGCUAAGAAACAAACUGGGAUUAGAUACCCCACUAU